GCAUCAGCCUCGAACCAAAGCUGAUUCCCUUCAAAGUCAUAAGCACAGAACCUGAGUCUUGGGAAACAAGGGGAUGCCUGAGGGAGAGAAACGGAGGACCCACUGUAGGAUUCUCUCCACCGGGCUGGGACAGAAGAUGGACCUAUGAAUGCUUUUCAGCCCAUUUAUCCCAUUACGUGCGCCAUUA